rnacentral:rRNA from 1 species
CCUACGGGUGGCAGCAGUGAGGAAUAUUGGUCAAUGGCCGGAAGGCUGAACCAGCCAUGCCGCGUGAAGGUCAGUGCCCUAUGGGCGUUAAACUUCUUUUGUGCGGGAGCACUAAUGGUCACGUGUGGACAGACGCGAGUACCGUACGCAUAAGCAUCGGCUAACUCCGUGCCAGCAGCCGCGGUAAUACGGGGGAUGCAAGCGUUAUCCGGAUUUUUUGGAUUUAAAGGGUGCGGCGGCGGUCGGAUAAGUUAGAGGUGAAAUCCCGAGGCUAAACUUCGGAAUUGCCUCUGAUACUGGUCGGCUAGAGAGUAGUUGCGGUAGGCGGAAUGUAGGGUGUAGCGGUGAAAUGCUUAGAGAUCAUACAGAACACCGAGUGCGAAGGCAGCUUACCAAGCUACUUCUGACGUUGAGGCACGAAAGCGUGGGGAGCAAACAGGAUUAGAGACCCCUGUAGUC